rnacentral:rRNA from 1 species
GACGAACGCUGGCGGCGUGCUUAACACAUGCAAGUCGAACGGAAAGGCCCUUCUGUGGGUACUUGAGUGGCGAACGGGUGGGUAACAAGUGGGUAAUCUGCCCUUGAUUUCGGGCUAACUACCGGAAACUGGGGCUAAUACAGGAUAGCUAUUAUUGCAGCAUGGUGGGGGUUGGAAAGCUUCGGCGGUUUUGGAUGGACUCGCGGCCUAUCAGCUUGUUGGUGGGGUAGUUGCGUAGCAAGGCUUGGACGGGUAGCCGGCCUGAGAGGGCGACCGGCCACAUUGGGACUGAGAUACGGCCCAGACUCCUACGGGAGGCAGCAGUGGGGAAUAUUGCACAAUGGGCGGAAGCCUGAUGCAGCAACGCCGCGUGCGGGAUGACGGCCUUCGGGGUGUAAACCGCUUUCAGCAGGGACGAAGCUUUUGUGACGGUACCUGCAGAAGAAGCACCGGCUAACUACGUG